rnacentral:rRNA from 1 species
UACGUAGGGCGCAAGCGUUGUCCGGAAUUAUUGGGCGUAAAGAGCUCGUAGGCGGCUUGUCACGUCGGAUGUGAAAGCCCGAGGCUUAACCUCGGGUCUGCAUUCGAUACGGGCUAGCUAGAGUGUGGUAGGGGAGAUCGGAAUUCCUGGUGUAGCGGUGAAAUGCGCAGAUAUCAGGAGGAACACCGGUGGCGAAGGCGGAUCUCUGGGCCAUUAUUGACGCUGAGGAGCGAAAGCGUGGGGAGCGAACAGG